UUCAUUACCGUUAUUAAUUUUGAUACACACUGAUCAUAACGAUAACUAACACUAUGUGCUGUGGCUGUGGUUUCAUAGGUUACCUCAAAAUUGGUUUAACGAUUUACCACUUAAUUACUCCGGUUAUAAGAAUUAAACAUAAUGAGUACAACAUUUUAACGUGAGAGUGUAUUUUUAGAAUAAUAACUCAGUAAUCAAAAUGCGAAUAAAUCUUUGGUUGGAUGAAAACGAUUGAUCAAUUGCCCUUCCAAUCUUAGAGCUACCAAUGUGGAGGUUCAUAACACUAUGGUGGUCCGGAGCUAUUUUAUCAUGUACAUCGUUUAUAAGGCAUAAGAAACAUUUUAACAUUUAAAAAUUAUAUCCUAUUGAAAAAUGUGAAAUUCGUAUGACAAAACUUGAAUAUUUUAUGUUGUGAAAGUGUUCACUGAUGAGACGAUCGCUUCCAACACUCUCACCUUCCUGACUGGCGGCUCAGAAACGGUCGCGCGAACCAUCGGGUUUGUUCUGUUCGAGCUGUCGAGGCAUCCAGAGCUUCAAGACAAAGUUCAACACGAGUUGGACUCUAUAUUGUCCAAACACGAAGGGUGGUCCUUCGAGGCUCUCAAGGACAUGACAUAUCUGGAUCAGGUCAUCCAAGAGUCACAGAGGAUGUACCCGAUGCUGCCCGCACUGCAUCAUAGAGGAGGGAACGUUGGUAGUCGUCCCUGUGGCCGCCCUACACCAAGAUCCCCAGUACUAUCCUGAUCCUUCCCAGUUCGACCCUGAGAGUUUCGAGGGCAACAACUUCAAACCGAGUUCUACGUUCUUGCCCUUCGGUGAUGGACCAAAAAUUUGUAUUGCCAUAAGUUUUGCAGUGAUGGAAGUGAAGGCGUGUGUGGCCAGAAUCGUGUCUCAAUACACAGUGAAAUUUAGCAACAAAACUCAACUACCUCUCCAGUUUGACAUUCCUUCAUUUUUACCAACAGUAAAAGGUGGAAUAUUUAUUUCUUUUGAAAAGAGAUCAACUAAACCAGUGUGGUCAUAGGCAACUAAUUAGCUGGUAGCCUAUAAUUAUUUUAAAUGAAUCCAAAAUUGUUUUUUAUUAAUCCUUUUUGGGUUAAUGUAUCGAAUUUGCAGGAUUUAUAAAUAUAUUAAAAUGCUAUUCUUUAAAAAUAUACAA